rnacentral:rRNA from 1 species
UGCCAGACUCCUACGGGAGGCAGCAGUGAGGAAUAUUGGUCAAUGGGCGCGAGCCUGAACCAGCCAAGUCGCGUGAGGGAUGACGGCCCUACGGGUUGUAAACCUCUUUUGUCGGGGAGCAAAUUCCGCCACGUGUGGCGGAGUCGAGAGUACCCGAAGAAAAAGCAUCGGCUAACUACGUGCCAGCAGCCGCGGUCAUACGUAGGAUCCGAGCAUUAUCCGGAGUGACUGGGUGUAAAGAGUUGCGUAGGUGGCAUAAUAAGUAGCUAGUGAAAUCUGGUGGCUCAACCAUUCAGACUAUUAGCUAAACUGUUAAGCUCGAGACCGUUAGGGGUAACUGGAAUUUCUAGUGUAGGGGUGAAAUCCGUAGAUAUUAGAAGGAACACCAAUAGCGUAGGCAGGUUGCUGGGACGGUUCUGACACUAAGGCACGAAAGCGUAGGGAGCAAACGGGAUUAGAUACCCUCGUA